ACGAACGCUGGCGGCAGGCCUAACACAUGCAAGUCGAGCGAAGCCUUCGGGCUUAGCGGCGGACGGGUGAGUAACGCGUGGGAACGUGCCCUUCUCUGCGGAAUAGCCACUGGAAACGGUGAGUAAUACCGCAUACGCCCUUCGGGAAAGAUUUAUCGGAGAAGGAUCGGCCCGCGUUAGAUUAGGUAGUUGGUGGGGUAACGGCCUACCAAGCCUACGAUCUAUAGCUGGUUUGAGAGGAUGAUCAGCCACACUGGGACUGAGACACGGCCCAGACUCCUACGGGAGGCAGCAGUGAGGAAUCUUGGACAAUGGGGAAACCCUGAUCCAGCCAUGCCGCGUGAGUGACGAAGGCCCUAGGGUCGUAAAGCUCUUUCGCCAGGGAUGAUAAUGACAGUACCUGGUAAAGAACCCCGG
rnacentral:rRNA from 1 species